rnacentral:misc_RNA from 1 species
GAGAGACUUAUAUUACACCUUAGUAAUAAACUAUUCAGUCAAACCAUUAUUAUAUAAUCUUACAGCCAAAAUGCAAGCAAUCAAUUAAUUCCUUCAAGUUUUUAGCAACUUCAGCCAUCUAUCUAACCAUUUAUGAUAUUUCUUUAUAAAACACAUUCACAUACAUCCUCCUCAACUAGAAGAGAAAUCCAUACAUGCAACAAGCAAAAAGAUAGAGAACUAAAAGGAGAAGAAAUGGGGAAGAAGGGGGAGUAACACUACUUGUAGCAAAUUAAGACACCUAAAGAUAUGUUCCCUACCUUGAGAAUCCGAGACAUAAA